rnacentral:rRNA from 1 species
AGUGAACGCUGGCGGUAGGCCUAACACAUGCAAGUCGAACGGCAGCACAGUAAGAGCUUGCUCUUACGGGUGGCGAGUGGCGGACGGGUGAGGAGUACAUCGGAAUCUACUUUUUCGUGGGGGAUAACGUAGGGAAACUUACGCUAAUACCGCAUACGACCUACGGGUGAAAGCAGGGGAUCUUCGGACCCUGCGCGAUUGAAUGAGCCGAUGUCGGAUUAGCUAGUUGGCGGGGUAAAGGCCCACCAAGGCGACGAUCCGUAGCUGGUCUGAGAGGAUGAUCAGCCACACUGGAACUGAGACACGGUCCAGACUCCUACGGGAGGCAGCAGUGGGGAAUAUUGGACAAUGGGCGCAAGCCUGAUCCAGCCAUACCGCGUGGGUGAAGAAGGCCUUCGGGUUGUAAAGCCCUUUUGUUGGGAAAGAAAAGCAGCAGGUUAAUACCCCGCUGUUCUGACGGUACCCAAAGAAUAAGCACCGGCUAACUUCGUG